rnacentral:sRNA from 1 species
UGUUCAUCGUAAUAUAACUGGUCCGCCA